GCUAUCAGGUAGCUGCACAAACAUCGAACAAGAAGUAUUCUUUAUGUGAAAUCCUAUGUGUUUUGGGAUUCAUAUCACAGAGAAUAUUGCAACAAGAUGGACUGGUCUCAUGGCUAUGGUGGGAGAAAAUAGAUGGAUACUUUUGGUCAUUGUCAGCAAUCAACCGGAAGCACAAAUCUUGAACUUUGAUCAUCCAAAUUGUCGAAAGAUAGUCAUUUUCAGUACUUAUGGCAAGGAAAGGGGAUGGCUCAAGAUUGACCGUAGUUUCAUGGGUUGAUUAUAUUAGAUGCAUGGAGAAUCAUCAGAUUGUAUUCAAGUGAAACAGAGGAACUAAAAAGGGAGCAAAGAACACAAACCAAAAAG